rnacentral:rRNA from 1 species
GACGAACGCUGGCGGCGUGCUUAACACAUGCAAGUCGAACGGAAAGGCCCUGCUUUUGUGGGGUGCUCGAGUGGCGAACGGGGGAGUAACACGUGAGUAACCUGCCCUUGACUUUGGGAUAACUUCAGGAAACUGGGGCUAAUACCGGAUAGGAGCUCCUGCUGCAUGGGGGGGGUUGGAAAGUUUCGGCGGUUGGGGAUGGACUCGCGGCUUAUCAGCUUGUUGGUGGGGUAGUGGCUUACCAAGGCUUUGACGGGUAGCCGGCCUGAGAGGGUGACCGGCCACAUUGGGACUGCGAUACGGCCCAGACUCCUACGGGCGGCAGCAGUGGGGAAUCUUGCACAAUGGGCGGAAGCCUGAUGCAGCAACGCCGCGUGCGGGAUGCCGGCCUUCGGGUUGUAAACCGCUUUCGCCUGUGACGAAGCGUGAGUGACGGUAAUGGGUAAAGAAGCACCGGCUAACUACGUG